GACGAACGCUGGCGGCGUGCUUAACACAUGCAAGUCGAACGAUGAAGAAGAGAAACGCGAACUUCGGUUCAACUUUCACUUCGGAUUAGUGGCAGACGGGUGAGUAACGCGUGAGCAACCUACCUCUUACAAAGGGAUAGCCUCGGGAAACCGUGAUUAAUACCAUAUGACACAUUCAUAAGGCAUCUUAAGAAUGUUAAAGCUACGGCGGUAAGAGAUGGGCUCGCGUCCCAUUAGCUAGUUGGUGAGGUAACGGCCCACCAAGGCGACGAUGGGUAACCGGGCUGGGAGGGUGAACGGUCACAUUGGAGCUGAGACACGGUCUCAACUCCUACGGGAGGCAGCAGUGGGGAAUAUUGCACAAGGGAGGGAACUCUGAUGCAGCGACGCCGCGUGAGCGAUGAAGGAAUUCGUUUCGUAAAGCUCUGUUCUAUGGGAAGAAAAGGACUGUACCAUAGGAGAAAGCCCCGGCUAAAUACGUG
rnacentral:rRNA from 1 species